rnacentral:rRNA from 1 species
AGUGAACGCUGGCGGUAGGCCUAACACAUGCAAGUCGAACGGCAGCACAGUAAGAGCCUGCUCUUACGGGUGGCGAGUGGCGGACGGGUGAGGAAUACAUCGGAAUCUACUUUUUCGUGGGGGAUAACGUAGGGAAACUUACGCUAAUACCGCAUACGACCUACGGGUGAAAGCAGGGGAUCUUCGGACCUUGCGCGAUUGAAUGAGCCGAUGUCGGAUUAGCUAGUUGGCGGGGUAAAGGCCCACCAAGGCGACGAUCCGUAGCUGGUCUGAGAGGAUGAUCAGCCACACUGGAACUGAGACACGGUCCAGACUCCUACGGGAGGCAGCAGUGGGGAAUAUUGGACAAUGGGCGCAAGCCUGAUCAAGCCAUACCGCGUGGGUGAAGAAGGCCUUCGGGUUGUAAAGCCCUUUUGUUGGGAAAGAAAAGCAGCAGGUUAAUACCCCGCUGUUCUGACGGUACCCAAAGAAUAAGCACCGGCUAACUUCGUG